rnacentral:lncRNA from 1 species
CGCGGCCUCCGGGGGGCACCUGGGCCCCGGGGGCCUGUGGGUGAGAAGGGGAAUGAGGGGGAUCCUGGAGAAGAUGGCCGGAAUGGCACCCCUGGACCAUCUGGACCCAAGGGUGACCGUGGGGAGCCGGGCCCCCCGGGUCUCCCUGGACGGCUGGUGGAUGCCGCCCUUGAAUCCAGAGACAAGGGAGAGCCUGGACAGGAAGGUCCCCGAGGACCCAAGGGUGACCCUGGCCCCCCUGGAGCCUCUGGAGAAAGGGGCAUUGAUGGGCUUCGGGGACCCCCAGGCCCACAGGGAGACCCAGGUGUUCGAGGUCCUGCAGGAGACAAGGGUGAUCGGGGAUCCCCAGGGCUGGAUGGCCGAAAUGGGCUAGAUGGGAAACCAGGAGCCCCUGGCCCUCCAGGGCUACACGGUGCUUCAGGGAAAGC